AUGUUAUUGGAGGAACUCCGGUUGUUUGAUAAUCAGGUCUAUGGUGUGGCCCAUGGACUUCUUAUGGGCUACAGGGAAAAUGUAUGGGUUCAAGCCCAAUCUUUGUUCGAUGAAGUAAAGCUUAUGGACUCCUCAACUGCAUCUGCUUUUUAUAAUGCUCUGACUGACAUGCUAUGGCACUUUGGUCAGGUAAGUCUUAGUCAUUACUACUGUCUCUCUUCCUCUGCUUCUUGUCAUUACCAUACUUUUCAUAUGUACAUGUGUGCUCAGUCAGAUCAUUCUUGUACAAGGUUGUUCAUGCAUACAAUGACUGAUACUUGAAUGAUCCUAAGUCCUAAAGUGACAAUGUUCUUGUUGAAUUUUUAUAAUUAGAAAAAAGGGGCACAACUGGUUGUGCUUGAAGGCAAGCGCCGAAAUGUAUGGGAGAGUGUUUGGUCUGAUUCUUGCUUAGAUUUGCAUCUGAUGUCUUCUGGGGCAGCACGGGCAAUGGUUCAUGCAUGGCUGCUCAACAUAUGCUCUGUUGUGUUUGAAGGCCGUGAAUUGCCAAAGCUAUUAAGGUAUUAAUUUGUCCACUAUAUGCUUAUUUAUUACUGUUUGGACCAUGGUUACAAUUAAAGAGUUAAACUGUGUCUUUUGCUCUCUGCCAGCAUUUUGACAGGAUGGGGCAAACAUAGCAAAGUAGUUGGUGAUGGCACACUAAGACGGGCUAUUGAGGCACUUCUCACUGGCAUGGGUGCCCCCUGUUAGUAGCUUUAUAUUUAUAUUUUUGUUAUGUUAUGCAAUUAUUUGUAUCAAAACAUACUCUUAAGGGGGCAAAUUAGAAUUCAUUCAUUGAACAAAUUGCCAGUAUCAUGUAUGUUAGAAACUCUGGUCAUCAAUCUAACAGUUUAGAGGGGGAUGAUAUCCAACUUUGUAGGAUCCAAUGAGGGCAAAUGAUUUCCUAUUUUGUUGGCAAAAAAAAAAAGGGCAAUUUUUUUUUUUUUAAGAUUUCUACCCAAAAGCCUAAAAGAUUAUGGACCAAUCAAACAUCUCUAAGGCAAUGUAAGGGCAAAAGCCAUUCUCAAAACUUUUCAUGGGUAGGCAUGUCUUAAGCUGAUGGCAGCUCAAAGUGUCUAGGACAUAGUUAAUUAAAUAUUUAAUUUCACAACUUGCUGACUUGUGCUAUCAUGAGUGGUGGUCAUUUUUUGUUCACUACUAAUAUGGACUCACCACUUUUCAUCUAUUGCUCAUAAUCACACAAGUCAACAAGUUGUCAAAUUGAGUGUGUGUAUUUGCAAGCUCCAUGGGGGGGGGGGGGGGAAACUAAACCAUAAGCUUCUAUUUAUUUAUGAAAUGUCAGAAAUCUUACAAGACUUAAAAAAUAAAAAUAAAAAAUUAAUUGGAAGACUUAUAUUGAAUAUUACAAGUUUACAAUGGUUGGUGUUUCCUCAACCCGUGCAAUGCAUUCCAAGCUAGUUAGUUGAUAUCACAAAUGCUAAUGUGUAAGUUGUGAUUAAAACAACAUAAUUUUUACAUAGGUUCUUAUUACACUAAUUACAACAAUUAUCUCUUGUUAGUCCUCCAUGAACCUAGACUGUACUCCUUUCUUCGGUGCCAAACCCAAACUUAAUUAAAAAGAGCAUAAACAAACACAAAGUCUUUCCUCCACAAUCAUCAAUACGGGAGGGAGAAAUUGUUAGAACAAAGUAAGUAAACAACGGCCAUUUUGAAACUUGAAAAGUAACAUUUCCUAAAAUAAUUUAUAUGGGUUUAUCCUAUUUCCACAAGUUUAUUAUUAUUACUUGUUAAAGAUAAAGAUUUGAACAAAACAACAUCAAUAGAAAAAGAGUCUAAAAAAUUUAUGAAAAAAAAAAAAAAAAACCCAUAAUAUGUAAAUGAUUAGAUGAUUAUAGAAAAGGGAGAGGGAGAGACCUGGAGGUGGCGGAGCUUGAUGUGUUCCUAGACCUUCUUGACGGCGUGGGUGCGAGAGGACUUGGUGGCGCUGUCGAGGAAUUUUCCGAGUUGAGGAGAGAACUGAACCACCUUCUGACUGCCGAUGUUGGAACGAGCUUUGGUAGCAGUGAGAGAGACAGAUCGCCUGUGUGAGUGAGCGAGAGAGAGAGGGAGGCUGAGGUGAGGUGUGCGACUGAGAGAGGCUGAGGUGAGGCUGAUUGAACUGUGAGCGGGUGAGUGAGAGAAGACGAGAGAGGGUGAGUGAGAGUGGAGAGUGGAGAGUGACUGAGAGAGGCGUUUAAUCUGAAAAUAUCCUAUUAAAACUUGACUUUCAGAGAGUCGAGGUCCAAGUGGCGCCACGUCAACGCCAGAUGGCGUCUACGUGGAACUCGAGUUUUAGAAACUCGAGUUUUAUGUGGAUGCCACGUGGUAUCACGCCACGUCAAACAGCAAAAAUCGAGCCUCAAAAAGUUGAGGUCUGAGCGCAAAAUUCGAGUCUCAAAAACUCGAGGUGUUACUAAUUUAUAUUGUUUCCAAACCGGGCCAACUAACUAUAUAGUUGGCUAAUUAUAGGUAAUUACCCAUUUCGUCCGAGCCUGGGAUUAGAUCCUAAGUAUCUUUGGUAUAUUUUCUUUAAGUCAGAGUUAGCCUUUUAUCACCUCAUUAGGAUUUUAGUUUACUAGUCUAAUUAGGAGUUUGUUUACUAGUCAUAGUAGGAUUUCUAGUUAUCUUAAAAAAAGUUAAGAUCUAGAGUCUUAUGCAUCUUAUUUUACUGAGUUGAUUAAUAAAAAUAUUGAGCAUUUUGAGUAUUGAGGCACACUGAUCUUAUUGUUCUUUUUCUUCUUUUCUCUUCUCUUUUCUUUUUAUCUUUCUGCAUUACUAUUCACGAGUACUGCUGAUACAGCCCCUGAAGAGUAUAGAUUUCUCACUUUCCCUUCUUCCAUAGUAGAACAUGAUACAUUCGAAAACAGAUUCGCUUAGCUUAUGUCUAGAUUUAUGAUAAGACAAAGUAGGGUGUGUAGUAAUUUUAAAAAAUGGUAGCCUGGUCUCUUUUGGAAAAUGGUUGUUUGAAAACAGGAGUCCUAAGGGAUACCUCUCACAAGUGGAAAUGCAUGUCUUGGCUUUCUAAAUAACACCCAUGAAGAUAGCUUUUUUAGAGAUUAUUUGAAUGACCUUGCUUAAGGGAUGCUUAUAGUUAUCUCCUUCUAUAAGUUGUAAAUUUUACAGUUGCAUUUUAAGAGAAACCUACAUUAGUUUUUCGGUAUGUGUUUUGUGGACAUCAAAUGAAAGCUUAAGUAUGCCAUUCCUUAUUGAGUGAGGAUAAACUCCUUAGCCUGUCAUGGGUAAAAUGCCCUUGGAUUACCUGGUAACUGGUUCUAGCGGGUGAGGAUCAGUUGUCCGUCGGAGUUUGAUUAACAGUGAGAAAUGUUGUACAUUAUGCUCUGCGACAUGCAACUAAUAUGAGUGAAGUUCUCCUAUGUCAUCAAAAAAAAAAAAAAAUGUAUGACAUUCCUUAUUAAGUGAGACAACAUAUGUCUAUGGUAAUCUAAGACAAUGUAGUGUCAUUCACAAAUCAAUCCCUUGGUCCAGUGAACAAUUGUCAUGGUUUAUGCCCUAUGUCAGGGGUGACAGAUUCUUGACAUAUAGUGCCUUUAACAAGAUGAUAUUCAUUUUUAAAAUAACUUAAACAAAAACCAAGCAUCCUAUAUCUUUUGGGCUUCGUUAGAGCUUAUAUCUUUUGGACUGUGUUAGGAACUCAAAGCAAGCUUCCACAAAAUUACUAAAUUAGUGUUACUAACCAAAGGAGGACAGCCUGUAGUGGACUGAUUUUUGUUUUAGAUUUUAAUUUAAAAUUUAGUACUAUUUGUGUCAAGUUUUUAUAUGAUAUUGAUUUUUAGAGUGUGCUUCACAAUGGAGUGUUUCUAAUAAACUCCAUCUGUAAUUGUGCAUGUUCCCGACCAUCAUUUGACAAUAUAUAUACAGUUUAUCUUUUAAAUAUGUGCCUUGACAUUCAUUUCUGCUAGAUAAAUGUGCAGCUUUCAACCAUGUGCAGACAUAGUCAUAAAUUGCCCAUUAAGUAACAAGACCUCAAUGCUCAAUCUUUUCUUGAGUUUUUUUGUUCUGUCCUUGAUUUUCAUUUCUCUCAUCUUCUUUGAUUUAUUUUAUAAAAUGUUUUGAUAUAUUAUAUGAAGUAACAAUACAAUGACCGUAUUAAAAAAAAAAAAAAUUAUAUAGAAAAUCAACAAUUCAAUUACCAAAAUUGGUUUGGCUUACUUGAUACAUGAUGGAAUUUCAUGACUGGACAGACAGUUACUAAAUCCCUUCUCCUUUGAUUUGGUAAUCUAUACCUGCUAAAUCAGUGGCUUCAUUGCAAGCAAAGCUUCCAAUAAAUUCUCUCCCCCAACCCUCUUGAUUUGAUCUCUGAUAUUACAUGAUCAUGGCAAAUAGGUAUUUGGUAUAUGUAGAUGAGGUUGUAGAAUAUAAAGAAACUACCCAUGAUCUUUAUCAUUAUCUUUAAAUUGUCUCAAGUUUGUUUGAAUAAGGAUGUAACUGCUAGUAAUGAUGAAUAUGCAUCAGCUAUUGGUUUAUUUUUCUUCCUAAGCGAAUAAUGGAAAUUUAUUGGAUUGUCUGACAGGUUAGGGCAGUGGAGGGUAUAAUUGGUCGCAGUUCAUGGUUCAGUUAGUACUUACUGUUCAAUAAGUUGGGUUUGGAUUUUGGUGUAUUUUUCUUAGAAUAGGCACACAACAUGCCGUGUUUUAUCGAACUAGUGACUAAUAUUGAUUUAACAGGAAUUGUUGCCAAGCAAAGCUAUUGAUAAUGCUUUGAUACAAAUAAGAACUCUUUGGAUUUUUACUAAAAUUAAAAUUAAGUUCCUUUAGCAAUGAGAACUAUAGAGCAGUGGAUGAUUUAGUAUAAUUUGACUGUACAAUUUUUCAGAGUAUCAAUUUUGGUAUCGGAGCUUUACCUCGAGGAUUGGUAGAAGCAUUGGUGCAGGCACUUGUAUUGUGGCAUUUCCUUGUAAUUUUUGGUAGUUUCUAGGGCCUCUUGUCUUCAAAUAAAUAGAAGAUUAUAUCAUAAACAAUAUAUAAACAAUAUAUUUCGCAUCAAAGAAUGUUCAUUUUCAACAGGAUUCAUAUUUUACAUGAUGAGUACACCUGAGGAUUCUAAAGAAUCUGAUGAGCUGAAAUGCACCUGUGGGCUUCCUGCAAAACUGAGAGUAUCUGAAACUCCCAAGAAUCCAUUUAGGUUAUUCUAUAAUUGUUCCAAGGGUAUUCAUGACGUAAGUACUUCGUUCUUUUCAUGUAAUUGAAAAUUUUUUUGGUUAAGAUUUCUGUUGAUUUGCAUUAUUUUUGUGCUUAACACUGCUAGCAAUGUGGAUAUUUCCGCUGGGCUGAUGAACCAGCUGCAACUGGUGAUAGACAAACUGAUGAGCUAAAUCUCAUUCGCAAUGAGUGCAUUCGACUACAACAAAGAAUGGGUGAGAUCGCAGAAGAACAUAUGGAAGAGAAGACUAUCUGGAAUGAAGAAAAAUCUGCUCUAAUGUUACAACUAUCAACUGUUCAAGCUGAGCUAGAUGAAAUCAAGAAAAGAAUAAAGAUGGCAAAUGAAUUUGAUCUUAUGCCCCCAGUUGAUAAAUUCUCCAAAUCAGAUGAUGAGGCAGAUGAUGCAAUAAUCAUACAUACUCUAUAG
rnacentral:sRNA from 1 species